rnacentral:rRNA from 1 species
AUUGAACGCUGGCGGCAGGCUUAACACAUGCAAGUCGAGCGAGCGGCGGACGGGUGAGUAAUGUCUGGGAAACUGCCUGAUGGAGGGGGAUAACUACUGGAAACGGUAGCUAAUACCGCAUACCAUCAUAUUUGCCCCGAUGUGAUUAGCUAGUCGGUGGGGUAAAGGCUCACCUAGGCGACGCUCCCUAGCUGGUCUGCGAGGAUGACCAGCCACACUGGAACUGAGACACGGUCCAGACUCCUACGGGAGGCAGCAGUGGGGAAUAUUGCACAAUGGGCGCAAGCCUGAUGCAGCCAUGCCGCGUGUGUGAAGAAGGCCUUCGGGUUGUAAAGCACUUUCAGCGAGGAGGCGUUACUCGCAGAAGAAGCACCGGCUAACUCCGUGCCAGCAGCCGCGGUAAUUC